rnacentral:misc_RNA from 1 species
AAAGUCGUAACAAGGUUUCCGUAGGUGAACCUGCGGAAGGAUCAUUACAAAUCAAUGAGUGGAUGUGGGGAGUGCUUAAACACACUCUCCUCUGACACACAUAUUUACGCUUGUUGUGUUUGACAGAGUAAUGCUAUAUAUACAAAAUAGACAACUUUUAACAACGGAUCUCUGGGCUCUU